rnacentral:rRNA from 1 species
CUUAAAUUGAAGAGUUUGAUCAUGGCUCAGAUUGAACGCUGGCGGCAGGCCUAACACAUGCAAGUCGAGCGGAAACGACAACAUUGACUCUUCGGAGGAUUUGUUGGGCGUCGAGCGGCGGACGGGUGAGUAAUGCCUAGGAAAUUGCCUUGAUGUGGGGGAUAACCAUUGGAAACGAUGGCU